rnacentral:lncRNA from 1 species
AAGAAAUAUGUUCAAUGGGUAAUAACAAGUUAUGAGUAAUAUGAGGUGAUCAUGCUAGAGUAAAUAAGAGAAACAUGAAUCCUAAAGCGAUAAGAGGAUGAAAUAAUAUAAACUCUUAAUGAGAUAUACACUUUGUAUUAGGGAGUACCUAGGCUACAAAAGUACUCUUGAUAGACUCACAUAUGAGAUUGUGGAACUUAGGUUGGUUCCUAUGGAAUUUUGAGGCAGAAUACCUAGAGCCUUCACUAAACUGGGGUACACGUGAG